ACUUCAGCCAGAGCGCGGGGUUAGGGCUUCAUUGCCUUGUGUCCUCUGCUCCGGGAGACUUCGGUGAUUCUGCCACUCACUCCGUCGCUCUGUGACCUGCUGGCAUUGAAUGAUUUAUAGCUAAGACUCCAGGACACCCCUGAAGCCGAGAAAUGGAACUCUUAACAUUCAGGGAUGUGGCCAUAGAAUUCUCUCCAGAAGAGUGGAAAUGCCUAGACCCUGCCCAACAGAAUUUAUAUAGAGAUGUGAUGUUGGAGAACUACAGAAACCUCGUCUCCCUGGAUUUUCAAAUUAUAGUUCAAAGAAUGAGUGUCCAACCUUUUGGCUUCCCCGGGUCACAUUGGAAGAAGAAACAUUGUCUUGGGCCACACAUAAAAUACACGAACACUAAUGAUAGCUGAUGUGCUAAAAAGAAAAAAGGUUCAUGCAGUUUUCAUGAUAUUCGUCACCACAGAUAAGCAAAAAGUCCUCUCAUUCAAAGAGCUGGUUGGACACCACUGAUUAAAAGUAUCUACUCACCUUCUAGAUUUUUUAAAUGCCCUGUGUCAUUAAUGAGCUUAGAACAUUGCUAAGCAAAUAUUAAGCCAUCUAUUAUCUUAUUUUUUAAUAACUAUUAUCUUAUAAUUUUGUCUUAUUUAGUAGGGAGCCUGCUGGGACUGUG
rnacentral:lncRNA from 10 species